ensembl:lncRNA
CUGGAAGUGCCAAGCCUGAAGUGGUAACACACUUGGUAACUAUUGGGGAGGCAGGUAGCCUAGUGGUUAGAGUGGGGAGGCGGCAGGUAGCCUAGUGGUUAGAGUGGAGGGGCGGCAGGUAGCCUAGUGGUUAGAGUGGAGGGGCGGCAGGUAGCCUAGUGGUUAGAGUGGAGGGGCGGCAGGUAGCCUAGUGGUUAGAGUGGGGGGUGGCAGGUAGCCUAGUGGUUAGAGUGGAGGGGCGGCAGGUAGCCUAGUGGUUAGAGUGGGGGGUGGCAGGUAGCCUAGUGGUUAGAGUGGAGGGGCGGCAGGUAGCCUAGUGGUUAGAGUGGGGGGUGGCAGGUAGCCUAGUGGUUAGAGUGGAGGGGCGGCAGGUAGCCUAGUGGUUAG